CACGUAGGCACCAAGCGUUGUCCGGAUUUAUUGGGCGUAAAGAGCUCGUAGGCGGUUCAGUAAGUCGGGUGUGAAAACUCUGGGCUUAACCCAGAGCCGCCACCCGAUACUGCUGUGACUAGAGUCCGGUAGGGGAGUGGGGAAUUCCUAGUGUAGCGGUGAAAUGCGCAGAUAUUAGGAGGAACACCGGUGGCGAAGGCGCCACUCUGGGCCGGAACUGACGCUGAUGCGCGAAAGCGUGGGUAGCAAACAGG
rnacentral:rRNA from 1 species